GACGAACGCUGGCGGCGUGCUUAACACAUGCAAGUCGAACGAAGAGCGAUGGAAGCUUGCUUCUAUCAAUCUUAGUGGCGAACGUGUGAGUAACGCGUAAUCAACCUGCCCUUCAGAGGGGGACAACAGUUGGAAACGACUGCUAAUACCGCAUACGAUCUGACCUCGGCAUCGAGGAUAGAUGAAAGGUGGCCUCUACAUGUAAGCUAUCACUGAAGGAGGGGAUUGCGUCUGAUUAGCUAGUUGGAGGGGUAACGGCCCACCAAGGCGAUGAUCAGUAGCCGGUCUGAGAGGAUGAACGGCCACAUUGGGACUGAGACACGGCCCAGACUCCUACGGGAGGCAGCAGUGGGGAAUCUUCCGCAAUGGACGAAAGUCUGACGGAGCAACGCCGCGUGAGUGAUGACGGCCUUCGGGUUGUAAAGCUCUGUUAAUCGGGACGAAAGGCCUUUUUGCGAAUAGUGAGAAGGAUUGACGGUACCGGAAUAGAAAGCCACGGCUAACUACGUG
rnacentral:rRNA from 1 species